GAUGAACGCUGGCGGCGUGCCUAAUACAUGCAAGUCGAGCGAACAGAUGAGGAGCUUGCUCCUCUGACGUUAGCGGCGGACGGGUGAGUAACACGUGGAUAACCUACCUAUAAGACUGGGAUAACUUCGGGAAACCGGAGCUAAUACCGGAUAAUAUAUUGAACCGCAUGGUUCAAUAGUGAAAGACGGUUUUGCUGUCACUUAUAGAUGGAUCCGCGCCGCAUUAGCUAGUUGGUAAGGUAACGGCUUACCAAGGCAACGAUGCGUAGCCGACCUGAGAGGGUGAUCGGCCACACGGGAACUGAGACACGGUCCAGACUCCUACGGGAGGCAGCAGUAGGGAAUCUUCCGCAAUGGGCGAAAGCCUGACGGAGCAACGCCGCGUGAGUGAUGAAGGUCUUCGGAUCGUAAAACUCUGUUAUUAGGGAAGAACAAAUGUGUAAGUAACUAUGCACGUCUUGACGGUACCUAAUCAGAAAGCCACGGCUAACUACG
rnacentral:rRNA from 1 species